CCUACGGGUGGCAGCAGUGAGGAAUCUUGGUCAAUGGGCGGAAGCCUGAACCAGCCAAGUAGCGUGCGGGAUUAAGGCCCUACGGGUCGUAAACCGCUUUUGCAAGGGGAUAACACGCUCCACGUGUGGAGGUCUGCAUGUCAGGUGCUAAUAAGGGACGGCCAACUCCGUGCGAGCACGCGGGGUAAUACGAAGGGCCGGAGCAUUCUCCGGAUUCAUUGGGCGUACGGGGAGCGUAGGCGGGCGUUCACGUCAGUUGGAAAAUCACGCGGCGCAACCGGCCCCCGCACUUGAAACUGGACGCCUUGAGGUCACAACAGGCAGGCGGAAUUCGUGGUGUAGCGGUGAAAUGCGUAGAUAUCACGAGGAACCCCGAUUGCGAAGGCAGCCUGCCGGGGUGCGACUGACGCUGAGGCUCGAAGGUGCGGGUAGCAAACGGGAUUAGAUACCCUAGUAGUC
rnacentral:rRNA from 1 species